UGAGGGACCAGCAGACCCAUGGAGAGAGGUGCCCAUGCUGGACACCUGGUCAGACUUGUGACCCUGUUGGGAGAUUGUCCUGGUUUCAGCCAGGAUUGAGUUAAUUUUUUUGCAGUGUGUCUGGAGGGGCCUGAAGCCUGAAGCCAGUUCUCCUCUCCAGCCCCCCACACUGGUGGCAGAAGAAAGGGGAGGGGGAGUGAGCGAGCAGCUGUGUGGUUUGGAAGGUCUUGGUGGGAGAACUGAAUUGGGGAUACCACUCCUAAACCAUGACAGGCACCCACUCUGGAGCAAGCUGUGCCUGAAGGAUUUAACCCUGUGGAAAGGAGCACAAGUUGGAGCAGUUCAUGAAGAACUGUUUCUCAUGGUAUGGCUUGAGCUUGGAGAAUUUCAUGGGGAAUGGUCUCCCAUGGGAGGGACCCUAUGCUGGAGCAAGCGAAUGGCUCCUCUCCCUGAGCAGCAAAAUGUGUGAUGACCUGACCACAACCCUCAUUCCCUGUCUCCCUGUGCCACUGGAAGAGGAAGCAGACCCCAGGAAAAAGGGAAGGGCCACUUGGGGAGAGGAGUAAUAGAGGAGUUUUGGCGAUAUCUGGCAUCCAACCAGGGUAAACCACCACACGAGUAAUGGAAAACUUGCUUUCAAAUUUAGCUUUUUUGAUCUCAGAAAAAAUAGCUGUCUCACUCCUUUCAAGCAGUGAAUUUAAUUCCAGGAGGAAUUUAAAUCCAGGAGGACCUCUGCAAUUGAACUUUCUACUGAUGGAAAGAAGGAAGUAGAGAGAAUCUAGCAGAGGUUUUUGCAGAGUGCAUUGCCUUAGCUGUGUAGUACCUGCACAAUCUCUUUUUGUCUCUGUCCUGGAUCAACAGCAUUUAUCAGUCAGGCCCACUUUGCAGUAGGUAGUUACAACAUUGGGUAAUUAGAACAGGUGCUUUCGGGGAACUGUUUCCUGGGCUGGCUGCUGAAAAUCAUGUCCACCAACACCCACAUAUUCUGCUCUUACCUUUCUAGUUUUGGUAUGAAUGCCCCCCUUCUAAGCUCUCAGUUUUAGACUUGCAAAUAUCUGCUUUGCACACCAAUAGCAGAUAAAGCAACCACUUUUCCACCAGUCCCCAGUUCUUUCUCUUAGGCAGCCCAUCUUCAGCAUUGUGGCCCAUUUAUACUCUCAAGCAUGGCAGCUGUGUGGCUGGAGGGAGUUUGGCCUCUGACUAAUUACAUUUCAUUGCUCUUGAAGCUGACAUUUUUGCUGCUGCAGAUCAGUACAAAUUACAAACAUGCAUAUGUGGGUUACUGACCUCCUUGGCAAGACAGUAAUCUUGUCCUAAUUGUAAGGUUUCAUGCCUGGGAGCACGGCUGUAAGAAAUAAAAUAUCAUUGUAUGUUAUGAAACAAAAGUACCCUGGUAAACUUAGUCUGGAGAAAACACAAGACACUAAUUUAUAAUUAGCAGAUAAAAUAAAUAUGGAAAAUCUGUCUGUUACCCUGCAAAGGUUUUUGAAGACAGACAUUUGAGUACCAGAAAGUUGAUGUUUGGACUUGCUUUGACUUUUAGAGAAUCAUUCUGUAAACUGCACACAACAAACUGAACCUAGAGUUCUGAGAGGGUCCACUCAGAGGGAGGUGAUGGUCACAGCUCAUUGUGGUCUAGCUUAAAGGGUCUCACCUAGGACCACUGUUUGUGGGGUAGCAAGAGACUGGGCUUGUCAUAAUUUUCCUUCCUGUCUAAAAUUCAGAUUGGUAGCUUUCUUUGAAAUUUUGAUGAUGAUGAUGAAAUUAUUACUCCACUUUGGUUGUUAUUGAAGCAGGAGAAAUAAGUUUCCAAUGGUGUUUGUUAAAAACAGGUGUUCAUUAAACUUUCACCUGGGAGCAGGCUGGGCUUCUGAUAAGCUCAAGAGGAACUGAGUCCAGGUCCUUUUCAUCAAGGCUGAGACUUAACCAGCUUUUCUGAGAUUAUGGUGUGACUCUAGGUUUAAGAUAGGAAGAGAGGAUGUGUCACCACAGCUAUAAAAGUAAGUCCUUGAGGCUGGGUAGAGGCAGUAUCUGGCUCUUCUGUUUUACUUGAUAUGUAUCACCUUCUUACAGACUGAGUAAAAUGCAGAAAGUUACCUUCUUGCAGUGACUGCUUCUCUGUCUGCAUUCAUGUGGACUGCGCUUUUGGCAUUUGCUCUGCUGGGUGGGCAGACAGACGAUUGCUCCUGUUGCUGACUGACAAGCCUGAAUGGUCAUGAACUGUAAGUGAGCUAAAAUGUUUGCUUACAACAGAUCUGUGAACCUAUGCCCAGCAAGAGAGAUAUAUUCUGUUUCUUGGCAUAGUGGAUGAGAAUUUCUGUAAAUGGUGUUUUAGCAGAUGUCCAGUGUUGUGGCACUUGCUGUUCAGAGUUAUUUCAGUGUUGAUUCAGUACUAUCAGGGUCCAAGUCUAGAUGCUGAAAACUGCGUUAAAAAGCUAAAUCUAUCUCUGACUACCACAAUAACUUCUCUGACCCACUGUUUUUUAACAUAAUUUAUGCACUCUUAAUGUGACAGCAACUGAAUCACAUACUUCCCAGGUGGAACUUUGAUUAUUUUGGCUAUUGUUAAUACAUCAUAGGCAAUCCCCACAAGUUCAAGUGUCUUGCUUCAUGUAGCAUGUGCAUGCUGUUUAGUGCAUGUCGUGUUUGUGCUGUGGGUUGUGCAGCCUAAGAAUGAUCUUUCUGCCUAGGCAGGGGCGGCAUAUGGGAGGUGGCACUGGGAUGAGCGAAGUGCCAAGAGAAGGACUAGAAACAGACAGACUUACAGAGGAAAUAACCGGGAGGAGGAGGGCAGAGCAGCAGAGGCAGUUUGAGUAGCUGGGAGAUUUGGUACAAAAGAGUUCCCUAUAAUAGAAAAGGGAGAAGCUGAUGGAGACUUCCUGAAAACUGCUUGGAGGCAAAGCCUACCUGAUGGGAAUUAAACUCUGUAAGGGUCUGGAGGGCAAGACAAGUUGUGGAGAAGCCUGAUAUCCAGAAAAUGUGUAUGAAUAACUCGGGGAUAGUCCUGUGGAACACAGUAAAGCUGUCUUUAGGACUUGAGAACAGACCUGAAUCCUAAAAGAGGAGGAGAAAAACAUUUCUUAGCAGUCAGUGGAAGAAGAAAUGAAAGCAGAAUGAGAGAAUAGAGGUCCUACAUAAAGGCGGGUCAUACUGAGAGCAAGAACCGUACAAAGCAUGUGGACAAUCUUGUUUUCCAUGCCCUGCUCUUGGGAAGCACUGGCUGAAGAUCAAAGAGACCUGGAAACAUUGCAGCAUGACCAGGACUGAUGAGGCAUUCUUGUGUGGAAUAACAGGUCUGAAGAUCCUGAAGGCAUCUCUGGUGAAAGCGACUAACAUGGUUCUGCCUGUCUAAGAGUACUUGCAACAAUAUUGAAAAGGAAAUGUUUCACCAAACAUUGUGACUUCUGCCAAAAUUUGCCACUAGCCCUGUGAGCUGGGCUGCCUUCAUUAAGGACAGGAGAAGGAUAUUGUGUCCAUAAUGGCUCUGCCAUGUUUUGAUGAAGCAUCAGAUACUUGAGGGAUGUCCUUUUGGAUGACAUGAUGGCAGAUCUGCUCUGCAGAAAUUCCCCAGAUAAUUCCUGGAAAGCAGGCCAGGGGUGUGUGGGAUUUCAAGAGGUAAAAUCAGGUCGCUGUCACCUGAUUCCUUUCAUUUUGCUUACACUUUGAAGACUGGCCCUGUUAACUGUUGACAGCACAAGCAAAGGUUGCUCUAGCUAGCUCCUUGCCAGGCCGUUCAGCUCACAUGAAUGUGUGACCAACAGCAGUGCAAGACUUCUGGCUCUGAGUGCCAGAGGAAAGUGUCAGGUGAGGAAUCACACUAGGGCAGCAUAUCUGUCCAACCAAAAUGUUGAGGGUGAGGCCAGGGAAGAUGGAAGAAAUUCGAUGUUGAGUGGAAGGACAAAAGCUCACUUGUUUUCAUUUUCAGAUUUUUUGUGAAAGAGGGGCCUUAUGGUAUGUCUAAGUUUUUGCUUAGUAAGCUGUAUUUAGUAGGUCAUGAAAGCUACCACAGAGAUGACAGGGAGUCCAAGUUCUUAUAAUAACAGAAAAUUGAAAUUUUAAAUCUGGGGGGUUUUUUUGUGGGUAUUUUUUUUUCCCCUCCUAUUUGCGUCUCCUUAUCCAUUUAAAUAAUAAUUCACUACGUUCUGGAUUGCUCUCCCUCAAAAGAGAAACAUGACCUAAAUUUUGGCUGUUGAAAGAAAAGUUAGUUAUAGCUUUAGAAGUAAAAAAAAAAAUAAAACCAAAAAACUCCAACACUACAUAUGCAUAAAAUCUAUCAUGGUUUAACCCCAGAUGGCAGCUAAGCACCACACAGCCACUGGCUCACUCUCACCACAGUGGAAAUGUGAAAGAGAAUCAAAAGAGUGGAAGUAAGAAAAUUCCUGGGUUGAGAUAAAGACAGUUUUUUAGGGAAAGCAAAAGCCACACACGCAAGAAAAGCAAAAUUUAUUCACCACUUCCCACUGUCAUACAGGUGUUCAGCCAUCUCCAGGAAAGCAGGGCUCUAUCACGUGUAAUGGUUAUUUGGGAAUUAAAACACCAUCACUUUGAAUGUCCCCUGUUCUCCCAGCUUUAUGUGCUGAGCAUGGUGUUCUAUGGUAUGGAAUACCACUUUGGUAAGUUCAGAUCAGAUGUCCUGGCUGUCUUCCCUCCCAGCCUCUUGUGCGCCUGCUCACUGGGAGAGCACAGGAAGGAAAUAUCCUUGACUUAGAGCAAGUCCUGCUUACUAACUGCUAAGACAUCAGUAUGUUAUCAACUUUAUUCUCAUAGAAAAACCAAAAUACAGCACUGUAUCAGCUACUAAGAAAACCAACUCUAUCCUAGCUGAAAUCAUGUCUAAAUAUUUCUCAAGGUGCAAAUUAAGUAUAGUAAUGAUGUUCAAACCCCAUCAAAGCUUAUUUUUGUACAGAGGACUAAGUAUGACUUGUUAGUUAUGGCCCCCCCAAGUAUAACAUGUUAGUUAUGUGCCUUCUUUGUCCACAGAACUGGGUCUUUUUUCCGAGAUGCAGGAAUGUGACAAUUUUCAAGGAAACUAUGCAUUUCUUUUUCCUGUCUGUUUUUCAUACCACUCCUGGUAUCCCAGAGAUGGUGUUAACACUUCCCAGUUCAAUGCUUCUGUGCAUUUAAAUAGCACAUGGCUGACCCUUAUCUUCUUGCUCAUUAAUAAAAUGCUAGAAAAUACCUAACCUACAAUUUGGUUCUUUUGAGAAAUAUUACUGCUUGACUUGAUUUACUGCUGUUCAACACUGCCCUUUGUAUGCUAAAUCCCUUCAUGCUGCUGAAAUUUAUGUAACAGCAUUGACAGCUAAGAUGAUCUGAGUUAACACUCUUGGGUAAGACUGGUACAGUUUUUGUUUUCAAAACCAGGAAGAAGCUUCCUCACUGAGGUCCACCUAUAGAGAGAAUACAUGAGAACUGAUCUAGUAUCUUUAUAGCUAUUGCUGGGUUAGCUAGUUGUUUUAAUUAUCAAGGUCCUACACCGUAAGUUACAGCUAACU